rnacentral:rRNA from 1 species
GUGCCAGCAGCCGCGGUAAAACGUAGGAGACGAGCGUUAUCCGGAUUUACUGGGCGUAAAGCGUGUGCAGGCGGUUCGGCAAGUUGGAUGUGAAAUCUCCCGGCUCAACUGGGAGGGGUCGUUCAAAACUACCGAACUUGAGGGCAUCAGAGGAAGGUGGAAUUCCGGGUGUAGUGGUGAAAUGCGUAGAUAUCCGGAGGAACACCAGUGGCGAAGGCGGCCUUCUGGGAUGCUCCUGACGCUCAGACACGAAAGCUAGGGGAGCGAACGGGAUUAGAUACCCUCGUAGUCC